UAGAGAGGCAGAUUAAGGAGGAGUUUGAGAAACUUCACCAGAGAGUCAAUAAGGAUAACUAAACUGUGGAAGGAAGAACAGCAGAAGAGUCAGACAGUGAAUGAGAAUAUUGAGAAAAUUAACACAGAGAUUUCCUCUCUUUCAGACACUAUCAGAGCCAUAGAGGAGGAGAUUCAAACUAAAGAUGCUUUAUUCCUACAGAACUAUGAUGCCACUUUGAAAAGUUUCCCAGUGUAAACCGCCGGAUCCGGAGAACAUUUCUGGAGUUCUGAUCAGUGUGCCAAAACACCUGAGCAACCUGAUGUUUACUGUGUUACAGAAGAUGCAGAAAACUGUUGAUUACACUUCUGUGACCUUUGACCCCAACACUGCUCAUUGUAAUCUCAUCCUGUCUGAUGACCUGACCAGUGUGAGGUACAGCGAUGAGGAACAGACACUUCCUGAUAAUCCAGAGCGAUUCGAUAUGUUUGCGUGUUCUGGGCUCGGUGGGUUUUGACUCUGGCUCUCACUGCUGGGACGUUGAAGUUGGAGACAGUACAGGCUGGUUCCUCAGAGUGAUGGCUGAAUCUGCUCAGAGGAGGAAUAAAAUAUUCUCAAGGAGUGGAAUCUGGCUGGUGGGUCAUUUCUGUGGUGAAUAUAAAGCACACGAACCACCACAAUCACCAGCUCUCCUCCCAGUGAAAGAGAAACUGCAGAGGAUCAGAGUUCAGCUGGACUGGGACAGUGGAAAGCUGUUGUUCUCUGACCCUCUUACUGACACACACAUACACUCCUUUACACACACUUUCACUGAAAGAUUAUUUCCAUUUUUUGGUGUUGGCUGUAACAUUUCUCCUCUGCACAUCUAACCUGUAAAUUCCUCAGUAAAAAAAACUCACUGUAGAUCAAAUUAUUAAACUUAAC